UACCAGCACCCCGAGUGGUCGGGACGUUUAUUGGGCCUAAAGCAUCCGUAGCCGGUUCUACAAGUCUUCCGUUAAAUCCACCUGCUUAACAGAUGGGCUGCGGAAGAUACUAUAGAGCUAGGAGGCGGGAGAGGCAAGCGGUACUCGAUGGGUAGGGGUAAAAUCCGUUGAUCCAUUGAAGACCACCAGUGGCGAAGGCGGCUUGCCAGAGCGCGCUCGACGGUGAGGGAUGAAAGCUGGGGGAGCAAACGGG
rnacentral:rRNA from 1 species